UACGGAUGGUGCAAACGUUGUUCGGAAUCACUGGGCUUAAAGCGCACGUAGGCGGCUCGGUCAGUCGGACGUGAAAUCCCUCGGCUUAACCGAGGAAUGGCGUUCGAUACUGCCGGGCUCGAGUGAAGUAGGGGGGCGUGGAACUCCGGGUGGAGCGGUGAAAUGCGUAGAUAUCCGGAGGAACGCCGGUGGUGAAAACGGCGCCCUGGGCUUCUACUGACGCUGAGGUGCGAAAGCUAGGGGAGCGAACGGGAUUAGAUACCCCCGUA
rnacentral:rRNA from 1 species